CUCCUCCCGUUCCCUCAGCCGCCGCCUAACCCUAGUCUGCCCGCUCCACGCCGGCGCCGGCGCAGAAGAGGCCUUAUCUCUCCCGAUCCACCGCUCCCCUCUCUUCUCCGCUCUAUAUGCCUCGGCCCCCUCCUCAUCUUUCCCACCGCCAUGGCCACGAGCCCAUACACCCCGGUCCAGAUCCCGGACUCGGUGGUGGCGGCGGGACCGACCGCUCCGGCUGGACGACGGUUAACGCAGUCCAUUACAUCCCAUCGCACAUCAAUCCGCCUUCCUCGGUCUUAGUCGAGCAGCGCACGUGCCGCGGCGAACCCCAUGAUGUGCUGGCCAUCUCAAUUAGAUCGACGUCGAUGAGAAGGCCAAGGUGGAGGUAGCGGCGCCGAGCUCGUCAUUUUCUGCCACCGGAUUUGAAGUAGUUAAUGUUCCGUGCGGCGGCCACCUAUCCAUCUCCGGUCGACGCCGAGCAAUGGUGAGGUCCAGUUGGCACCGCUCUCAUGGAUGCAGUGUAUAGGGGCGCCGACGCCACGGUGAUGGCCACUGGCUUCUCCCUACCGUGCUGCAGCGACGGGUGCCGCCUCCUUGGCUUUGCCUCGGUCCUUCCGUCCUGCACUUAGGUGCUGCUGCUUGUAGCCAUCUCGGUGGUUGAAGAAUGGUUUUCUUGGAGGUUGGUAUUGUAGCAUUUCUACUUGAAGGAAAUGAAGCCAGCGGUUAUGAUAUCUUUGGUGCAUAACUUAAUUUGUUAUCUCUGAAGCUGUAUCAAGUGCUGAUGUACCGCUCAAGGUGUAUCUCUCAAGCUUUUUAAACAACUGAUUGGUAAAAGGUAAAAGGGACUAAGAUUCACACAGCUACGCCGCAGGUAAUUGUCCAUCUUCCACAAGGAAAGUAGUUUUAUUCUAUUCAUCAUGAUAUUCAAUGAAUCUUAGAGCAUGGUAAUUAAUAUGUAAUCAUUUUAUAUCUAACUUGACUUCUCCAUGGAGUAAUCCAACCAAAGGUUUUAACUAAAAGUGAUUGUGAUGGCUCGUUACUACGUAUAUCCACAUAAAUAUUAACAAAAUAGAAAUUAUCACAUUAAUAAAAAUGAUUAAUCUCAAGAUUCAUGAUGUUGUCCAUCGAGAUUAUAUGUUAUUCUUAUAACAUGUUCCUAUAACAUCAGUAUUUCAUGUCAUUGGAUAAUUGUAGCUUAGAGGCCAUGGUUUGUUCAUACAGAAAUCUGAGCUCACUUGCUUCUACAAUUAACUUUCAAGAUGUAAUUUUCCAUUAGUGAGCAUGGUCAUUGGAAAACGUUGUCUACUUAUAAACUAACUACUAACUGAAGAAUAUUAUAUUCUUUAGAAAUAAUUGAAGAAUGAUUAAUACAUGAAACAAGAGCUCACCGGGACCAUGCUGUUGGGGGAUGGGAUGUGCUCGUACAUGCUAAUUUUUGAGGCUGUCUUAAUGUUUGUUGACGCGCAGGCAAUGUUGAUCAUGUGUUGAGGCGAGGCUUUGGCGGAUAUGGUUCUCCCUUAGAUGAUGUCAACAUGGAUGGCCCGAUCUGCAUCCAUGGAGCGCAAAGCUGGGUGGUGGUGGAUGGCUGGAUAUGCGUCCAGUGAGCGCUAAGUUGGGUGGUGGUGGCUGCAGAAUUAACAUAGGGGUCUGUAGAUUUUACUUUCUUGUUUUUUGCUAGUCCUUAUAAAUGUAUUAUCUGGAAAUAUCUGUAAUUGAAAAGUUUUGUGAAAAAAAAUCUGCUCUGUUUAUGUUUUUUUCUUUUAUUUAAUGACAUGAGCAUAUAUUUCUGAAAAAAUAGAAUUUCUAUGGACCA